rnacentral:rRNA from 1 species
CCUACGGGUGGCAGCAGUGGGGGCUAUUGCACAAUGGGGGAAACCCUGAUGCAGCGACGCCGCGUGUGGGAAGACGGUCCUCUGGAUUGUCAACCACUGUCCCCAGGGACGAAGCUGACGGUACCUGGGGAGGAAGCUCCGGCUAACUACGUGCCAGCAGCCGCGGUAAUACGUAGGGAGCAAGCGUUGUCCGGAAUUUCUAGGUGAAAAGGGAGCGUAGGCGGGAUGGCAAGUUGGGUGUUAAAUCUACCGGCUCAACUGGUAGUCGCACUCAAAACUGCUAUUCUUGAGUGAAGUAGAGGCAGGCGGAAUUCCUAGUGUAGCGGUGAAAUGCGUAGAUAUUAGGAGGAACACCAGUGGCGAAGGCGGCCUGCUGGGCUUUUACUGACGCUGAGGCUCGAAAGUGUGGGGAGCAAACAGGAUUAGAGACCCGAGUAGUC